ensembl:snoRNA SNORA21 small nucleolar RNA, H/ACA box 21
CCCCUUUUAAAAGCACUCAGUGGGCCUUUUGCUAAUGACCCAUUGAGCCGUCAAGAAAGGGCAGAUUAAAAGCACCGCUUUUGGGUGAAGUGGCAGCAUUUUGUGUUGUUUUACUUCAAUUGGUGGUGCAACAAGA